rnacentral:rRNA from 1 species
CUACGCACUCCUACGGGAGGCAGCAGUGGGGAAUAUUGCACAAUGGGCGCAAGCCUGAUGCAGCCAUGCCGCGUGUAUGAAGAAGGCCUUCGGGUUGUAAAGUACUUUCAGCAGUGAGGAAGGUGGGUAUGUUAAUAGCAUACUCAUUUGACGUUAGCUGCAGAAGAAGCACCGGCUAACUCCGUGCCAGCAGCCGCGGUAAUACGGAGGGUGCGAGCGUUAAUCGGAAUUACUGGGCGUAAAGCGCAUGCAGGUGGUUUGUUAAGUCAGAUGUGAAAGCCCGGGGCUCAACCUCGGAAUUGCAUUUGAAACUGGCAAACUAGAGUACUGUAGAGGGGGUAGAAUUUCAGGUGUAGCGGUGAAAUGCGUAGAGAUCUGAAGGAAUACCGGUGGCGAAGGCGGCCCCCCUGGACAGAUACUGACACUCAGAUGCGAAAGCGUGGGGAGCAAACAGGAUUAGACUACCCUGGUAG